rnacentral:lncRNA from 1 species
UUUAGUCGCCAAAACGUCAACAUUUUGAGAAUGAUUCACGUAGUCGCAAAAUGGCCACUACAUUUUGCAACUGUUUAUGUAGUCGCUAAAUAUAACGACUAAUUAGCUAAGCAUGAGUGACUCUCUUUCAUUUGGGCAUCCGAGCCAAAUUGAUUGGGUUUGGUCUAGGCCUAUCUCAGCACAAUCCCUCUUUCUCUAUCGACGCAAGACACACACUCUAAAC